rnacentral:rRNA from 1 species
UACGUAGGGUGCAAGCGUUGUCCGGAAUUAUUGGGCGUAAAGAGCUCGUAGGCGGUCUGUCGCGUCGGCUGUGAAAACCCGAGGCUCAACCCUGGGAUGCCGGUGGAUACUGUCGGGCUCGAGUCCGGAAGAGGAGUGUGGAAUUCCUGGUGUAGCGGUGAAAUGCGCAGAUAUCAGGAGGAGCACCAAUUGCGAAGGCAGCUCGCUGGGACGUUACUGACGCUGAGACGCGAAAGCGUGGGGAGCAAACAGG